rnacentral:tRNA from 1 species
AGGGAUGUGACUCAGUUGGUAGAGUAUCUGCCCAACAUGCAUGAGGACCUGGGUUCGAUCCCCAGCAACGCAU